GAUGAACGCUGGCGGCGUGCCUAAUACAUGCAAGUCGAGCGGACGGACGAGAAGCUUUCUUCUCUGAUGUUAGCGGCGGACGGGUGAGUAACACGUGGAUAACCUACUUCUAAGACUGGGAUAACUUCGGGAAACCGGAGCUAAUAACAGAGAAUAUUUUGAACCGCUUGGUUCAAAAGUGAAAGACGGUCUUGCUGUCACUUAUAGAUGGAUUCGCGCUGCAUUAGCUAGUUGGUAAGGUAACGGCUUACCAAGGCAACGAUGCGUAGCCGACCUGAGAGGGUGAUCGGCCACACUGGAACUGAGACACGGUCCAGACUCCUACGGGAGGCAGCAGUAGGGAAUAUUCGGCAAUGGGCGAAAGCCUGACGGAGCAACGCCGCGUGGGUGAUGAAGGUCUUCGGAUCGUAAAACUCUGUUAUUAGGGAAGAACAUAUGUGUAAGUAACUGUGCACAUCUUGACGGUACCUAAACAAAAAGCCCCGGCUAACUACGUG
rnacentral:rRNA from 1 species